GCGCCGGUCAUGAGCUCGGGCCGUGCUUUAACCUCCAGAAGCUCAGGUUUGUUGAUUAACUGCAAGUUGUCUGAGGAGAGAAUCAGUAAAAUGUGGAGUGAGUUUAUUCCAAGUGAUGGUUAGGAAGCUCUGGUGUGAACUUCAGUCAUUUCCUGCACAUUAAAGCGACGCUUCAGCCUCGUUCUGGACUUCAGGAGGCAGGAGGUUUAAUCAGGAGCCUUGGUGAGAUCUGAGAUGUGGUUUUAAGGUGUGCUGGUGAGCUUGUGGUCACUGUCCUGUUACGUUGUCCAGUUUCAGUCCAGUCUAAGCUGCUGGACUCACAUUUGUCUCAAGAAUAUUCUGGUAUAAAGUGGAGGUCAUAAUUUCUCAGGUCCCAACCAUCAUCCCUCCAUCAUCCAGCAUCACGGGGGAUGUGAGGGUUUGUGGCUGUGUUUGAGUUUCACCAAACAUGGAGCUGUGCAUCAGCGGCGUCCUUCUUAUUUUAAGGGGCACAGUGUGAAUACUACAGAAGACGUGAUGCUGAGAGACUAAAGGAUUUUCUAUCAUCAUCUUUGUAACCCAAGUGUAACCUGCACAUGACCUUUGUGUUGAGAUCUUUUCAGAUAUGGAGGAUUUCUCUGUAAGCCUUCUCACUGUAAAAGAAUGUUCUUUCACAAGCUUGUGACGAAGGAGAGAUUCUGAUUAAUGUAAACUCUCCCACUUCUGGAUGAUGAACUGACCUUAACACAGACUGCUGAUUAUUCUUUUAGAGAGUGUAGAAGUAUGAAGAGUUUCUGAUGAAGCUGAAUUUCUUAUACAUUUAUGUUCAGGAGAAAGCUUUAACUGUUCAACAUGUAGGGGGUCACGGUGGCUUAGUGGUUAGCACGUUUGCCUCACACCUCCAGGGUCGGGGGUUCGAUUCCCACCUCCACCUUGUGUGUGUGGAGUUUGCAUGUUCUCCCCGUGCCUCGGGGGU